rfam:Lepisosteus oculatus linkage group LG3, whole genome shotgun sequence.
UAUCAAUCUAACGGAAUCAUUUCUGCACAGACUAGACUCUGAGAACCAGUGUGCGGAAAUGCUUCUGCUACAUUGGUA